ACUCAAAGGAAUUGACGGGGGCCCGCACAAGCAGCGGAGCAUGUGGCUUAAUUCGACGCAACGCGAAGAACCUUACCAAGGCUUGACAUAUACCGGAAACGGCUAGAGAUAGUCGCCCCCUUGUGGUCGGUAUACAGGUGGUGCAUGGUUGUCGUCAGCUCGUGUCGUGAGAUGUUGGGUUAAGUCCCGCAACGAGCGCAACCCUUGUUCUGUGUUGCCAGCAUGCCUUUCGGGGUGAUGGGGACUCACAGGAGACUGCCGGGGUCAACUCGGAGGAAGGUGGGGACGACGUCAAAUCAUCAUGCCCCUUAUGUCUUGGGCUGCACACGUGCUACAAUGGUCGGUACAAAGGGCUGCGAUGCCGCGAGGCGGAGCGAAUCCCAAAAAGCCGGCCUCAGUUCGGAUUGGGGUCUGCAACUCGACCCCAUGAAGUUGGAGUUGCUAGUAAUCGCAGAUCAGCAUGCUGCGGUGAAUACGUUCCCGGGCCUUGUACACACCGCCCGU
rnacentral:rRNA from 1 species